rnacentral:ncRNA from 2 species
GCACGCGAUGCGGGAGAGCCGGGGCCACGCCGCCGGCACCGAAGGAGCAAGCCUCCCCGCCAAUCUCUCAGGUACGUGUACCGCAUCGACAGG